rnacentral:rRNA from 1 species
CCGCAUGCCUUUUGCAUAAUGAGCCUGCGACUUACUCUAACGAGCGAGGUUAAGUUGAGAACGAAGCCGAAGCGAAAGCGAGUGUUAAUAGCGCGUCUAGUUCGUUGGAGUAGACCCGAAGCUGGGUGAUCUAUCCAUGGCCAGGUUGAAUCUUCGGUAACACGGAGUGGAGGACCGAACCAGUUCAUGUUGAAAAAUGUUUGGAUGAGCUGUGGAUAGGGGUGAAAGGCCAAUCAAACCCAGUGAUAGCUGGUUCUCUUCGAAAUAGCUUUAGGGCUAGCCUUACGCAAUAGCGUGUGGGGGUAGAGCACUGAUUAUUCGCGGGCCCUUACCGGGGUACCAACAAUUAUCAAACUCCGAAUACCACAUAGCCGUACCGUAGGAGUCAGACUGUGGGGGAUAAGCUUCAUAGUCGAGAGGGAGACAGCCCAGAUCGCCGGUUAAGGUCCCAAAUUUAAGCUUAGUGGAAAGAAGGAUGUGGAGUUGCAUAAACAGCCAGGAUGUUGGCUUAGAGGCAGCCACCAUUUAAAGAGUGCGUAAUAGCUCACUGGUCGAGUGAUUCCGCGCCGAAGAUGAUCGGGACUGAAGCUUAAAACCGAAACCGCGAGUCGUAACAUCAGUUACGGCGGUAGAAGAGCGUUGUAACGGGGGAGAAGCCGAAAUGAGAAUUGAGGUGGACCUGUUACAAGUGACCAUGCAGGCAUGAGUAGCGAAAAACCAGAUGAGAAUUCUGGUCACCGAAAACCUAAGGAUUCCCGGGGCAGGUUCGUCCGCCCGGGGUUAGUCGGACCCUAAGGCGAGGCCGAAAGGCGUAGUCGAUGGAUGACAGGUUAAUAUUCCUGUACCGGUAUAGUGGAGUGAUGGAGGGACGCAGCAUGCUAGGUGAGCCGCCUGCUGAAUUAGGCGGUCGAAGCUCGUAGGGAGCAGGAUAGGCAAAUCCGUUCUGCAAUCCUGAGGAGUGUAAGGUAGCAUCCCGCAAGGGAAGCGAAUUCACUGAUGCACCACUGACGAGAAAAGCUUCUAAACGUUGAAACUGUACCGUCCGUACCGUAAACCGACACAGGUAGGUGAGGCGAGAAGCCUAAGGUGCGCGAGAGAAACCACGUUAAGGAACUCGGCAAAUUGACCCCGUAACUUCGGGAUAAGGGGUGCCGCAUGGGUGUAAGGAUUUACUCCUGAAGCCCUAGGCGGUUGCAACAAAGAGGCUGGUGCGACUGUUUAACAAAAACACAGCUCUAUGCUAACUCGCAAGAGGAUGUAUAUGGAGUGACACGUGACCAAUGCCAAAAGGUCAAGGGGAGCGGUUAGCGCAAGCGAAGCUGCAAACUGAAGCCCUGGUGAAUGUCGGCCGUAACUAUAACGGUCCUAAGGUAGCGAAAUUCCUUGUCGGGCAAGUUCCGACCUGCACGAAUCGUGUAACGAUGCCAGCACUGUCUCAACGUGGAUCUCGGCGAAGUUGUAGUUCCGGUGAAAAUGCCGGAUACCUGCGGAAGGACGGAAAGACCCCAUGAACCUUUACUGUAAUCUGAUAUUGGUAUUCGGUUUUAUUUGUGUAGCAUAGGUGGGAGGCUGUGAAACGGCUACGCCAGUACCCGUGGAGCCACAGGUGAAAUACCACCCUGGUGAAAUUGAAUAUCUAACCUUGUUCCGUGAAUCCGGAAAAGGGACCGUGUCAGAGGGUCAGUUUGACUGGGGCGGUUUCCUCCAAAAUUGUAACGGAGGAGCCCGAAGGUACACUCAACGCGGUUGGCAAUCGUGUGUAGAGCGUAAGGGUAGAAGUGUGCUUUACUGUAAGAUCGACGGAUCGAGCAGUUACGAAAGUAGGGCCUAGUGAUCCAGCGAUGGAAUGUGGAAUCGUCGUUGCUCAACGGAUAAAAGGUACUCUGGGGAUAACAGGCUGAUAGCGCCCAAGCGUCCAUAGCGACGGCGCUGUUUGGCACCUCGAUGUCGGCUCAUCACAUCCUGGGGCUGUAGAAGGUCCCAAGGGUCCGGCUGUUCGCCGGUUAAAGUGGUACGCGAGUUGGGUUCAGAACGUCGUAAGACAGUUCGGUCCUUAUCCUCCGCAGGCGCAGGAUAUUUGAUGGGAGCAUUCCUUAGUACGAGAGGACCGGGAAUGACUAACCUCUGGUGUUCCAAUUGUCACGUCAGUGGCAUUGUUGGGUAGCUAAGUUAGGAACGGAUAAGCGCUGAAAGCAUCUAAGCGCCAAGCCCACCCAAAGACAAGAUAUCCCUUCCUUUGG